rnacentral:tmRNA from 1 species
GGAGAUGUAUUGCAUCGACGGAGUGAGUACCUUAAAAAACCGCAAGCCGACUUUGAUCCAUUGAGUCGUCCGGCCGAGCCGGAUCUGUUGUAAAACGGAUAAAACAGGGUCAAACAAAAACAUGCCAAAGCUAAAAACUUCGGUGUCAAUUUAGCUCUAGAUUUCUCAGGCUUCGGUUUGGGUACUUCAAAAGCUGAUCUCAACUACGCGCAAGCAUAAUUGAGCUGACCAUCGGUUAAUCCCCUAUUCUUGAGGAGGUUAGUCGGUGUAAAUUAAACAAGAAUGCUGGUCUAUCAAUCUCGAUUUUGGUAGGUAACAAGCGAGGGGUAAUGCCCUCAAUAAUCGACAGUCAACAAUGGUUUGUUAAUUUCCAUUGACUGACGGACCAUCCUUCGCUCUUUGAGCUACGGACUGGCAAGUAAAAUUAAUUAAGCUUGUAGAAGUUUUUUAUUGUCCACUUUCGGACCCGGGCUCAAUACCUGGCAUCUCCUCCU